UGGUGGCGAUAGCGAAGAGGUCACACCCGUUCCCAUACCGAACACGGAAGUUAAGCUCUUUAGCGCCAAUGGUAGUUGGGACUUUGUCCCUGUGAGAGUAGGACGUUGCCAGGCC
rnacentral:rRNA from 2 species